UGUGGCUGAAGAUAUUUAAACAGGCAGCCUCGGCCAGUUGGCUGAGUUACUCAGUUUCUCCUGGGUUUCUCCGUGUAUACAUGCUAUUAAACUUUGUUUGAUUUUCUCCUGCUAACCUGCCUUUUUAAUGAUUUGACCAGACGUAAGAACCUUAAGGAAAAUGGGCGGGGGGAAUUCUCGCAUUUCCCUGACAGUUUUGGUGUGGCAGCGGGAUCCCCACUGGCUGGCAAGUUGCCUUCUCUGGCAGGAAGAACUGCCUCCUGCCUGGGGCCACUGCAGAUGAGGAGAUCCCGGGUCGCCUGACGGAAGUCGGCAAAAGCUAGAUAGCACAAAGAACCUGAACUGGUCUUUGUUCCUGAUGAAGUGAACACCUGGUGGACUAAGUAUGGAAGAUGGAUGAACAACAGGCCACUUGGAGGAGGCUGCAGUACCAGGGCUCUCUGGUUGCACACACAAAAAAGAAGAAGAUAAUAAUCUAAGGGACUUCUCACCUG
rnacentral:lncRNA from 1 species